rnacentral:rRNA from 1 species
UACGAAGGGGGCUAGCGUUGUUCGGAAUUACUGGGCGUAAAGCGCGCGCAGGCGGUUCGAUAAGUUGGGGGUGAAAUCCCUGGGCCUCAACCCAGGAAUGGCCUUCAAGACUGUCGAUCUAGAGGACGAGAGAGGUGAGUGGAAUUCCCAGUGUAGAGGUGAAAUUCGUAGAUAUUGGGAAGAACACCGGUGGCGAAGGCGGCUCACUGGCUCGUUUCUGACGCUGAGGCGCGAAAAGCGUGGGGAGCAGA